rnacentral:rRNA from 1 species
AAGAGAUACUGGCGAUCUGGAACCGGGAGAGGUGAGGGGUACUUCGGGGGUAGGAGUGAAAUCCUGUAAUCCUCGAGGGACCACCUGUGGCGAAGGCGCCUCACCAGAACGGCUUCGGACAGUGAGGGACGAAAGCUGGGGGAGCAAACCGGAUUAGAUACCCGGGUAGUCCCAGCCGUAACGAUGUGCGUUAGGUGUAUCGACGACCACGAGUCGUCGAGGUGCCGAAGGGAAACCCGUGAAACGUACCGCCUGGGAAGUACGGUCGCAAGGCUGAAACUUAAAGGAAUUGGCGGGGGAGCACCACAACAGGUGGAGCCUGCGGUUUAAUUUGGGACUCAACGCCGGGAAGCUCACCGGAUAAGACAGCUGAAUGAUUGCCGGGCUGAAGACUCUGCAUGACUAGCUGAGAGUAGUGGUGCAUGG